AAUCCAUGCAUCAGACAUUUCUGAAUUAAAUCUUUGAAUCAUUCACAAGCUUCACAUAGUGUUUCAUCCUACAAUUUUUGAAAAGAUGUGAUGUAAUUUCUAAGCUU
rnacentral:snoRNA from 1 species